GCUCGGACGAACCCGCCGACAAACGGCUCCGUCCCGACGCCCCCUCGGGGCUCCCGGGACCCCCCAACUUUUCCGGGGGGGACCCCAACCCCUCCUACAACUACUGGUACCAGCACGGCUACGGCACCUACGGCUACCAGAGCCCCUGGGGCUACGGCCACUACCACGGGCAGAGCUGAGGGGGGUCUGCACCCCCACCCUGUACAGACUGUGGGACCCCUCCCCCAAAAUUUGGGGUGGGGGGGGCGUUGUAAAUAAAGAGGCUGCGAGGA